UCCUACGGGAGGCAGCAGUGGGGAAUCUUCCGCAAUGGGCGCAAGCCUGACGGAGCAAACGCCGCGUGAGUGAAGAAGGGUUUCGACUCGUAAAGCUCUGUUGUCGGGGACGAAUGUGGAGAUGGUGAAUAACCAUUUUCAAUGACGGUACCUGAGAGGAAGCCACGGCUAACUACGUGC
rnacentral:rRNA from 1 species